rnacentral:lncRNA from 1 species
UGGCCAAACGCUUGGAACAAUGGAACUAUUGCAAAUUCCUUUUUACAGACUACAACUUCUAUCGAACUAGGUACAACUAACAAAUCUUCUGCCAAUGCAUAUAACAUAUGUUUAUUGCUUCCAGCACACAUCACUUGCCAUGUCACAACUCCAACUAUAUUCACUGCAACUUUUCCAUAUUUUUCAGCAAUUUGCAUAACAGUACAUUGCAUUGCAGUUAAAUGAAUCUUCCAUAUUCAAAUUUAGAGAACCUUGCCACUUAGGUCUGCACACAAGAUUUUAUCAACAAUAUGAUUUGUACAUAAAGAGAAAAAGUUCCCUGCUGUAAACGACUAAAAAAAAGUUCCCUGCUGUAAACACACAACAAAUCUUCCAAGAACUGAAUAUUGCCUCAUAUCAUCAUCAAUAUCUACAGUUGUAGAAUGUCUAUUUUGCAUGCUCUGUAUAAUUAUAUAUGUACAUAUGUUUAGGCCUUCAAAAACAACUCAUCUCCAUAUGCUACUGCAGAUGCUGAAACAGACCAACUAGCCUUGCACAACUCAACUAACACUGUUUUAUAUGAGCUUUCCUAUUUCAGAACUAUUGUAAGAUUUAUGUAAAUACAUAAAUUAGGACAUGCUGACAUGUUAUUGCAGGUGGUCAAGGCUCAGGAUUCAGAGUAGAAGAUGCACAUAAAUACUGGUGAAUGAUGCCAUCGACGAUGAUGAACUGAUGAAACGAUGGAUGAUGCCAUCGAUGAAAGAUGGAAUGGAACUCAAAUUUUGGUGGUCGCACAAGUGUGGAGACUUGAAUUCAUAUAUACUUAGUUAGGCUCAAUGUUAGCACAAACAGUUGAUGAGCAAGUUUUUCCAUUAGUAGUUUAGUUUGAAUUUAGAGUACAAUUAUGUAUGAGUUAUUUGACAGUGCUUAUUUAUGAGAUAUUGAAUGAUAUUUAUCUAUAUUGUAUUAAUUAUAGUGUUAUUAAAUAUAUGUGUUUGUAUUUUUUUCUCUUCUAAA